rnacentral:rRNA from 1 species
UAUGUAGGGUGCGAGCGUUAAUCGGAAUUACUGGGCGUAAAGCGUGCGCAGGCGGUUCGUUAAGUCAGAUGUGAAAGCCCCGGGCUCAACCUGGGAACUGCAUUUGGAACUGGCGGGCUUGAGUGUGGCAGAGGGGGGUGGAAUUCCGCGUGUAGCAGUGAAAUGCGUAGAGAUGCGGAGGAACACCGAUGGCGAAGGCAGCCCCCUGGGCCAACACUGACGCUCAGGCACGAAAGCGUGGGGAGCAAACAGG